CGGCGGACGGGUGAGUAACGCGUGGGUAACCGUGCCUCAUACAGGGGGAUAACAGUUGGAAACGACUGCUAAUACCGCAUAAGCGCACAGUACCGCAUGGUACAGUGUGAAAAACUCCGGUGGUAUGAGAUGGACCCGCGUCUGAUUAGCUAGUUGGUGGGGUAACGGCCUACCAAGGCGACGAUCAGUAGCCGACCUGAGAGGGUGACCGGCCACAUUGGGACUGAGACACGGCCCAA
rnacentral:rRNA from 1 species